CCCGGUGCCGGGAGGGUCGUGCGUCUUCCUCGCACGUUUCGAAUCAUCGCGUGUCCCUUCGCUAGAGUUUACGACGCUCCUAUAAUUCGCUCGUUUCUCUCGCUCUUCCCUCCCUCUUUCACUCUAUUUUGUUGUCUUUCGUUCGCGCUUAUUCCCGUGCUUUUUUCGCGCGUGAACGGGUUACGUUUUUACUCGGACAUUUUUCGCGGGAGGUCGUGGGAGUUUCCUGCGAUUGUUUAGCGAUUUGGCGACAGCUCGGAUCGAACGAGUAUAGUUCGAAACAAUUUGUCCGUUUUUUGUUUACUUUUUUUUUGUUUAUUCGAAGAAAAAAGCGAUCGAGCGAGUGCGAGAAUCCCGAUUGAAUCGAAAUUGAUUCGUCGACGAGAGGUUGAGACUUUUUCACGAAGAUCUCGGACCGAUUUCGGCCGUCUUUCCCAGCGACUGCGGUAUCAGUAUCGCAGUCGUGCGCGCGUGUUCUUAUCGUCGCGAACGUUUGACCUACGAACUUUGGCGCACUAGCGUCGCGCGAUAGCUCCCGAGUUCGCCUCGGGAGCUAUCGUCCACUCUUUUACAUGAUCGCCAGUAACGCGAGACAAGUUCGAUCAGCAGUUCGGAACGACGAGAUGGAGUCGCCAAAAUGGUAUGACAGUUCGACCCAGGAGACGUUUCUCGGGCGGAUCUCUACGCGGAGCCGCAUUUUUGCCAACGGACAGCCGGCGAGGGGGCGAGAUUAACUCGAAUUAACGUUAAUUGAGCUCGUCGCCCAUCCCCGGUUCUCUCUUCGAAGCAACCUCCACCUACGCGUCUGUGAGACGCCAAGUUUCUACAUUUCUCACGCACACACUAAUUUUCACCCUCAAAAAACUAUCGCGGUCGUAUUAUGAAGACAACGGAAGACUAAGAGACGACGAAAUUUAACGAAUGAGAACCUCCUCGAGCGCUCGAGCCGGCACGUGCGCUCGCAGCGGCUCCAUUAAAGUAGUGGCGGACGAGAGCGGAACAGCUCAACCGGAAGUGGACUCGGACUAGUACAUCGGCGGUUGCGGAUUUCAGUUUUUUUCUGCUGAUCAGCCCAUGUUGCCGCCACGUGGAGAGAGCUGGAAACAUUCGCCGGUGCGAUCUCCUCGUUUAACGAAAAUUCGAGCGAAUGAGUCGGCCUUCAGGGGAAAGCGUUUGAAACCGAAUCGAACGCGAUCUGUAAAAACGUCACAUUAAUUUGAAACUCUCCGAGAAGCUAUUACGCGUUUGCAGUAACGCGUUUAAAGGGAACGAGGAUCUCCGAUUGUCGCUGUGAUUGGGACUGCCAAUUACUCAAUCGUCUCACCAAUUUUGUAAACGCUUUCAACGAGCUGCUUGUUUGCGGUAGUUGAAACAACCUGCGAUUGUGUGACAGGCUUCAAGAAAUUUUUUCCCCUACCACGAGCUUACGACUCGAGCGCGGUUGCAGGGAGCUUCUCAGCGUGGACUGUGCGCACGCUCGCGCGCUCGUAACUCGAUAAAAACUUUUUGACCAACUCUGCGUACACCAAUGAAUCUCUUCGUUGUUCGAAAUUCAAUGAAUAACGCGCGGUUUCCUCCUCGCUACAUAAAACAAUAUUUUUGCUAAUAAAUCAUCCCCUUUUCUCCCUCAUUCAUUUUAAUUUUUAAGUUUUCGAUUUUCAUUUUAAUUUAAUUGCCAAUGAAAAAUUUACAAGUUUCUUCUUUCCCUUUGUGAAAAUCUUCAAGAUCAAUUGACUUUUCACUGCAAUUCCUAUCGAAGUUUGGAAAAACAUUUUUUACUCUCAUCUUUCGGUUUGGUCGGCGCAACAGAGUUGGCUUUUGUUUCUCUCCCGAUGAGUUGCGAACCACUUUCAGCCGCUAUUACGCUGCUUCGGCUACAAUGUGUGCCCUUCUUCUUCAGUGUCUCAAUGUAGUGACACACCGCGAUGUAAAUCUUCCGUCUACAGUGCCAGCCCAUAGAUCACGUUUUUUUAGCCAGUCCCAUAUAAUAUAAUAAUACUUUUCAUUAUUCUCUUUCUCGCUUUUAUUAGGCCGAGUCGUUCGUAUCGUAAUUUUUUGCUCAACUCUUCGGACCAUUUUUGCUUCGGCGACCAAAAAAAUGUAAAUUUUCAGGCAAAAGCCCUGCUAAAGUUCAAUAUUUUUAAAUAUUCGAUCAAGUGUUUCGCAGAAUCAAUUAUCUCGAGUUUUUUUUCAUCAAAAGCCUGUGUAAGUUGCGAAGAGCCUACAAAAACGGAAGAGUUUGAAAAAACGAGGAAAAGCAUUCGUUAACGCUGACAAAUCGUUCUACUUUUGCGUUAAGUCGCAACCCGACUAUCCAAUUCAGAAGCGAAUUUAUGGGUGCCAACGCGUACUUUAGUUGUAAUUGUAUUUUUGCAGUGUGAUCGAUUGGCGAUGAAAAAAAUGCGCGAUCAAUAUUUCACCGAUUUUUGUCGUUUUUUUUUUUCUAAUUCUUGACACGUGACACGCCACCGAGUCGCUUUUGUUGUUGUUCGUGCUCCUGCACAACUUGCUAACCUUAUUUGAAAACGUAAUAUCUUGUUGCAGUAUUGUCGAGCACGCAAAUAAAGUAUUGUAGCUACCACUGCAUGAUUUCGCAAAGAACUUUGGUAUCUUGCCCUUCGAACAAUGCCUACUCGUGCGCAUUCUGGAUCCACACACAUGUCAGGAGCGAAUUACACACGAGUUCUUUACGUACCGUCAGAAAAAUUAUCGGAUGGUAAACAGAAACCGACUACAGUAUAUAUGCAGAUCGAUGUGAACAACUUGACCCACCGACAUCAACUUUUCGACUUUUUUCUAAUUCUCUUCGUUUGUAUGACGUUUUUGAGCAGAGUAUUGUGGGAUUAGGAAAAGAGGACGUCUGAAAAAAAAAAACAAAAAAGAAAAUCGUAGAAUCUUUUCCGAAUUGAUAAAAAUGCAAAAAGUGCGUUAUCUGACAUAGACAGUUUAAAAUUUUCAAUUUUUUUCGUAGCCUGCACGUGGCUGCGACGCAUUUCGUUUUGAAAACAAAUAAUUCGAAUGCUAAUUAAUAUAUAUGGGCUAUUAUUCUAUAUCAGAUCAAAGGAAUUUUUGAGAUUUUUUUCACAUUUGUUUUCAACCUGCAGGAACGUUUUUUUCAAAAAUUUUAUUCUUACUUUUAUUGUGACGUGAAAAUUUCGAGAAAAACGCAAGUGUAUAAUCUUUUUUUUUUUAAUUAAUUUUAUUUUACGAGCGAGCCGCGGUAAUCGGCAAUUAAAACAGAGAAAGAAGAAUCAUUGAGUGGAGGCGAAGUCGGCAAAGUGGAGGAAGAGAGCUGCCGGAACGUCGCAGAGAAGAAGAAUCGCGAAGAACACGGGGAAAUUCAAAAUCAUCGUGGUGCUCGCGCCCUACUACCCUUGACGUCGUACUCGAAAUGCAUCGGUCAGCAUUGGAAGAAAGAUUGUGAUGAAAGAUCAAAAAUACCACUCGAAAAUUAUGGUGAAUUCGAGAAAGAUCCGAGGCCAAUUGUCGCGAAUUCAAAACGUAGUCGAGGUCAGGUCAUUGAGACUCCCAAAAAUUCGAGAAGAGGCUAAAGGUGGGGGCAAUAACUCCAGAAUGUUUCUCGAAUUAUCGUCGUUUUAGUAGUAGUCAAGAAUUGCCGAAAGGAAUUCGUUAUUUUUGCUCAACUCGAGUCUAAUCUGUAAAAAUAAUUCACAAUUAUUCGUGAGUUGCUUUAGUUGUCAGAAAAUCGGAAAUAUUUCGUUGGGUUUAAUUUGUAUAAACGAGCUCAGUAUUUUCUGAACCGUUGUGAUUCAAAAUUUACAAGUAGAAGCGUAUUUUGUUGUAACAAAAGAAAAUAGAAAGAAACUUUAUUUUUCCGGAAAAAGCAAUAUCCAAAAAUUAAGUUCUCGUUUCAAUAAAAGUCCUUCCGGUUUUGAAAGAUUU